GAAAAAGCAAGUAGCAGAAAAAAGGUUGAGUGAGAGUAUAGAAGAAAAAGAAGAGAAAGCUGAAAUGAAUAAAUUCUUUACUUCGAAGAAAAAAGAAAGAACAUAUAAGUCAAAGAAACAGUAAACCAAAAAAACGAAAACAAACACAAACAAAAUAAAUAGGAAAAAUGGGAGGGAAGUAAGAGAGACCGAAGGAAAAGUGAUGAGAGAGAAAAGGAAGGGGGGAAAUAAGAGGAAUAGAGUAUAGGAAGAAGGAUGAGUACCCAGCAGCUAAAAGUCCAUGUGAUGAAUACCCAGCAGCUUUGGCAAGUGUGUGUGCACACCUAUAUCCCUGGGACUAACAACUCACUUUGCUGUUUCCUUCCCCAGGGAUAUUAGGGUGACUCUGAAAGUUUCACAUGAUGAAUCCCAGUGACUGCAACAGGUGUAGACACCUGUACCCCUGUGAAUAUCCUACUACUCUUGCCCUAUCCUGUGAAACCCAGAUGGCUCUGAAAGUCCCAUGACAAAUUCCACUGUGUGAGAUCUGGACAGAUUAAAUUGUCCCAAAGUGCAACUGGUGUGUAUAGUCCUGUGUAAAACCCAAACUGCCAGUUUCAGAAGUCCCAUCAUCAGCCUUUCACAGAUUAGAGCUCCCAGUGGGUUCAUGCCAUAGUCCCAUUCCUGAUCCUCAGAUGAUUUUUGGAUUGGGCACACAUUAACCAAAUUAGGGGGAGGGAGAAAUUAGCAUGAGGUUGUUGGGUCUUGGGGAUUCAAAAAAUAAGAGAAAAAAAGAGAGAGGACAAAACAAACAAACAAACAACAACAACAAAAAAAAAACCAACC
rnacentral:lncRNA from 1 species